CCUACGGGUGACAGCAGUGAGGAAUAUUGGUCAAUGGGCGCGAGCCUGAACCAGCCAAGUAGCGUGAGGGAUGACUGCGCUGCGGGUCGUAGACUUCUUUUAUCAGGGGAUAAAAUGAGGCACGUGUGCCUUUUUGUGUGUACUUGAUGAAUAAGGAUCGGCUAACUCCGUGCCAGCAGCCGCGGUAAUACGGGGGGUGCAAGCGUUGUCCGGAAUCAUUGGGCGUAAAGGGUUCGUAGGUGGCACGUUAAGUCUGGUGGUAAAGGCGGAAGCUCAACUUCCGUAGGGCACUGGAUACUGGGGGGCUUGAAUGCGGUGGAGGCAUGGGGAAUGCGUGGUGUAGCGGUGAAAUGCGUAGAUAUCAGGCGGAACAUCGGUGGCGUAAGCGCUGUGCUGGGCCGUAAUUGACGCUGAGGAACGAAAGCCGGGGUAGCAAAUGGGAUUAGAUACCCCUGUAGUC
rnacentral:rRNA from 1 species